rnacentral:rRNA from 1 species
CGAAUGCUGACAUAAGUAACGAUAAAGCGGGUGAAAAGCCCGCUCGCCGGAAGACCAAGGGUUCCUGUCCAACGUUAAUCGGGGCAGGGUGAGUCGACCCCUAAGGCGAGGCCGAAAGGCGUAGUCGAUGGGAAACAGGUUAAUAUUCCUGUACUUGGUGUUACUGCGAAGGGGGGACGGAGAAGGCUAUGUUGGCCGGGCGACGGUUGUCCCGGUUUAAGCGUGUAGGCUGAUUUUCCAGGCAAAUCCGGAAAAUCAAGGCUGAGGCGUGAUGACGAGGCACUACGGUGCUGAAGCAACAAAUGCCCUGCUUCCAGGAAAAGCCUCUAAGCAUCAGGUAACAUCAAAUCGUACCCCAAACCGACACAGGUGGUCAGGUAGAGAAUACCAAGGCGCUUGAGAGAACUCGGGUGAAGGAACUAGGCAAAAUGGUGCCGUAACUUCGGGAGAAGGCACGCUGAUAUGUAGGUGAAGCGACUUGCUCGUGGAGCUGAAAUCAGUCGAAGAUACCAGCUGGCUGCAACUGUUUAUUAAAAACACAGCACUGUGCAAACACGAAAGUGGACGUAUACGGUGUGACGCCUGCCCGGUGCCGGAAGGUUAAUUGAUGGGGUUAGCGGUAACGCGAAGCUCUUGAUCGAAGCCCCGGUAAACGGCGGCCGUAACUAUAACGGUCCUAAGGUAGCGAAAUUCCUUGUCGGGUAAGUUCCGACCUGCACGAAUGGCGUAAUGAUGGCCAGGCUGUCUCCACCCGAGACUCAGUGAAAUUGAACUCGCUGUGAAGAUGCAGUGUACCCGCGGCAAGACGGAAAGACCCCGUGAACCUUUACUAUAGCUUGACACUGAACAUUGAGCCUUGAUGUGUAGGAUAGGUGGGAGGCUUUGAAGUGUGGACGCCAGUCUGCAUGGAGCCGGCCUUGAAAUACCACCCUUUAAUGUUUGAUGUUCUAACGUUGGCCCCUGAUCGGGGUUGCGGACAGUGUCUGGUGGGUAGUUUGACUGGGGCGGUCUCCUCCUAAAGAGUAACGGAGGAGCACGAAGGUUGGCUAAUCCUGGUCGGACAUCAGGAGGUUAGUGCAAUGGCAUAAGCCAGCUUGACUGCGAGCGUGACGGCGCGAGCAGGUGCGAAAGCAGGUCAUAGUGAUCCGGUGGUUCUGAAUGGAAGGGCCAUCGCUCAACGGAUAAAAGGUACUCCGGGGAUAACAGGCUGAUACCGCCCAAGAGUUCAUAUCGACGGCGGUGUUUGGCACCUCGAUGUCGGCUCAUCACAUCCUGGGGCUGAAGUAGGUCCCAAGGGUAUGGCUGUUCGCCAUUUAAAGUGGUACGCGAGCUGGGUUUAGAACGUCGUGAGACAGUUCGGUCCCUAUCUGCCGUGGGCGCUGGAGAACUGAGGGGGGCUGCUCCUAGUACGAGAGGACCGGAGUGGACGCAUCACUGGUGUUCGGGUUGUCAUGCCAAUGGCACUGCCCGGUAGCUAAAUGCGGAAGAGAUAAGUGCUGAAAGCAUCUAAGCACGAAACUUGCCCCGAGAUGAGUUCUCCCUGAGACUUAGAGUCUCCUGAAGGAACGUUGAAGACGACGACGUUGAUAGGCCGGGUGUGUAAGCGCAGCGAUGCGUUGAGCUAACCGGUACUAAUGAACCGUGAGGCUUAACCUU